rnacentral:rRNA from 1 species
UACAGAGGGUGCGAGCGUUAAUCGGAAUUACUGGGCGUAAAGCGCGCGUAGGCGGCCCCGUAAGUCCGCUGUGAAAGUCAAAGGCUCAACCUUUGAAAGCCGGUGGAUACUGUGGGGCUAGAGUCCGGAAGAGGCGAGUGGAAUUCCUGGUGUAGCGGUGGAAUGCGCAGAUAUCAGGAGGAACACCGGUGGCGAAGGCGGUUCUCUGGGAAUGACCUGACGCUGAGGAGCGAAAGUGUGGGGAGCGAACAGG